UACGUAGGGGGCAAGCGUUAUCCGGAUUUACUGGGUGUAAAGGGUGCGCAGGCGGUCUGUUAAGUCAGCGGUCAAAGCCCGGGGCUCAACCCCGGCCCGCCGUUGAAACUGGCAGUCUCGAGUUGGAGAGAAGUAUGCGGAAUGCGCGGUGUAGCGGUGAAAUGCUUAGAUAUUGCGCAGAACUCCGAUUGCGAAGGCAGCAUACCGGCGGCGAUCUGACGCUGAGGCACGAAAGCGUGGGUAUCGAACAGG
rnacentral:rRNA from 1 species